UGACUGAAAGUCUAUAUGAUAUGAGAUAUUGACACUGUCCUAUUCACCUACUCUGAAUAGAUGUCAGAAUAGAAGUAGCUUGGUCUGAUGCACUCUUACAAAAAUAGCUUGUGCAAUAUGUAGGCCUAACGUGCGUGGUUGCACCUGUGUGUGUGUAUACAUCUUGCCAACAGAACCGUGUGUAUACUUGCCAACAGAACCGUAACCCUCAGUGGCGGUGUACUACACCAACCGUACUCUGUGCCAAGUGAAGCUGCAAGCAGAACGACAAAGCCCUGGCGGACUGCAAGCACGCGCUGGAACUGGACCCCCAUUCUGUCAAAGCCCACUUCUUCCUGUGCCAGUGUCACCUGGAGCUGGAGAACUACAACGAGGCCAUCGGCAACCUGCAGAGAGCUUACAAUCUGGCCAAGGAGCAGAAACUCG
rnacentral:lncRNA from 1 species